UUUUUGAUGUGGGAAGGGAUUUACAUCUCCCUGAAUUGAAGUUUGAUAUAAGAAUUGAAGACUGAACUCUAAAGAUGUUGGUUUGAAUCCCCACCUAUUCAUUAUCCUAAAAAUCUGGCAGAGCCAUGCAAUAUGAAGCGGAGAUUCUGUAGAAGAUGCUUCAGCAUACAAAUUGCCUAUGUUCAGGAGGAGAGAGACAAUUUUUGAAUGGAGCGUGAAGACAAGAAAAACUGAUUAAGUUAAGAGGAUGGCUGACAUUAAUACUAUGCCCCUAUUUCACCUGCGCUCUGAUGCUCAGCUUUGGCCAAGGAGUGCCCAGAACAGUUUAGGAGGGGAAGAGGUACACCUGCCUUGUGCAUUCACCUCUCUGCCCCUCACCUUGAGCUGUCUGGGCAGCAGGCUGGUUCCAAAGCGUAAAGGCCAACACAAGUGCUUAUCAUUUACACCAGCCGCCAAUGGAUCCAAAAGGGCAGGUAUUUUCAAGGUGUCUAUCACCAGGUCACCCAAGCAUGGUUUCUUAAAAGAAAUUGGAGGACUACGACACCAAGUACUUGAAGUCAAACAGGUUACAAGCUGCCUUUUAAUAUCAAAGACCAGUCUUCUUUCACGGGAAACAUAGAAGAAGAGGCUAAGGUGCAAAGAAAAAAAAAACUACACUACCCACUCUUGUGAAGAAGCAGAAGCAGAUGCAACCUCUCAAAACUACCCAGAUCUCAGAAUACUACAGAGGAGGAAGCCACCUUUUUUAUGGAACCAGGAGCAGGGACCAAUCUGGUUGUGCUAGCCCAGCCUCUCCUGACAACACAGCUUCUGCUGGAACAAUGCCUUUUCCUGGGUCUCCCCGUGGUGACUCAUUAGCUGUUCAAGGCAACUCAGGCCAAGACAACAUGGCAAAUAGUUUCCCCCCGACCCCACGUUCAGAUUUCUGAUCAGUGCGUGGAGAGGACACUUCUUCCCUCCUUCUGGGCAGAAAUGGGGAGAUCUAUGUGCAUACGCACAGGCACACACGUGUGCAUGCACCCAUCCCUACCUCCAGGAAACAAUCCAAUGAAUGUAGUUGUUUUGGUGAUGGGAUAAUAAAAUAGAGGCAUAAAAAAAUAAUCCCA
rnacentral:lncRNA from 1 species